GACGAACGCUGGCGGCGUGCCUAAUACAUGCAAGUAGGCCGCAGUUGCGAACGGGUGAGUAACGCGUAGGUAACUGCCUCUUAGAGGGGGCUAACUAUUGGAAACGAUAGCUAAUACCGCAUACUAGUAGAUGGACCUGCGUUGUAUUAGAUAGUAGGUAGGGUAAUGGCCUACCUAGGCGACUAUACAUAGCCGACGUGGGAGUGUGAUCGGCCACACGUGGACUGAGAAACGGCCCAGACUCCUACGGGAGGCAGCAGGAGGGAAUCUUCGGCAAUGGACGAAAGUCUGACCGAGCAACGCCGCGUGAGUGAAGAAGGUUUUCUGAUCUUAAAACUCUGUUGUUAGAGAAGCGGUAUCUAACCAGAGAGCCACGGGUAACUACGUGCCAGCCGCCGCGGUAAUAC
rnacentral:rRNA from 1 species